rfam:Hippopotamus amphibius prion protein (PRNP) gene, partial cds.
CCACGGAGGUGGCUGGGGUCAGCCCCACGGAGGUGGUUGG